rnacentral:rRNA from 1 species
CAGGAUGAACGCUAGCGACAGGCCUAACUCAUGCAAGUCGAGGGGCAGCACAAGGAGCAAUCUGAGGUGGCGACCGGCGCACGGGUGAGUAACACGUAUGCAACCUGCCUGUAAGCGGGGAAUAACCCGUUGAAAGACGGACUAAUACCGCAUAAUACUAAAUUACUGCAUGGUAAUUUAUUUAAACAUUUAUGGCUUACAGAUGGGCAUGCGCAUGAUUAGCUAGUUGGAGAGGUAACGGCUCCCCAAGGCAACGAUCAUUAGGGGUUCUGAGAGGAAGGUCCCCCCACACUGGUACUGAGACACGGACCAGACUCCUACGGGAGGCAGCAGUGAGGAAUAUUGGUCAAUGGACGAGAGUCUGAACCAGCCAAGUCGCGUGCAGGAAGAAUUGUCCUAUGGAUUGUAAACUGCUUUUGCAGGGGAAUAAAGUGCAUCACGUGUGAUGUUUUGUAUGUACUCUGCGAAUAAGGAUCGGCUAACUCCGUGCCAGCAGCCGC